rnacentral:rRNA from 1 species
UAGGGAAUCUUCGGCAAUGGACGAAAGUCUGACCGAGCAACGCCGCGUGAGUGAAGAAGGUUUUCGGAUCGUAAAACUCUGUUGUUAGAGAAGAACAAGGACGUUAGUAACUGAACGUCCCCUGACGGUAUCUAACCAGAAAGCCACGGCUAACUACGUGCCAGCAGCCGCGGUAAUACGUAGGUGGCAAGCGUUGUCCGGAUUUAUUGGGCGUAAAGCGAGCGCAGGCGGUUUCUUAAGUCUGAUGUGAAAGCCCCCGGCUCAACCGGGGAGGGUCAUUGGAAACUGGGAGGCUUGAGUGCAGAGGAGGAGAGUGGAAUUCCAUGUGUAGCGGUGAAAGGCGUGGAUAUAUGGAGGAACAACAGUGGCGAAGGCGGCUCUCUGGUCUGUAACUGACGCUGAGGCUCGAAAGCGUGGGGAGCAAACAGG